AUGCACCUGCCUCCCGAGGCUCUCGACGGCGAGCUCUGCACAAGCACGCAGAACCCCCGCGUAGGUGAACUCAUUCGGUCGAACACCUCCGGUUCUCAGCAUCUGGAGGAACAGCCUGAAUCCUUCCCCGGCGCGCCCAGCGUCAAAGUACCUCUCCACCAUCGCCGUCCAGGAGACAACGUCCCGGACCGGCAUCGCGUCGAACACCCUCCUGGCGUCGUCCAACCGGCCGCACUUGGCGUACAUGUCCACGAGCGCGCUCCACAUGACGGCAUCGCCCACGCCGAUCCCUCUCCUGGCCACGUGGCAGUGCAGCUCCCUGCCCGCGCGGGCGCACCGGGCGGCUGUGGCCGCGGCGAGCGCGCUGGACACGGUGAACUGGUUGUCGGCGCCGGCGUUCCCAGGCUCCUCCUGCAUCCGGCGGUAGAGCGCGAGCGCGUCGAGGGGCCGGCCGUGGCGGGAGUAGGCGGAGACGAUGGCGGACCAGGAGAAGUGGUCCCUGUGGGGCAUUCGGUCGAACAGCGCGCGCGCGGAGGCGAGGUGGCGCGGCAAGCGGGAGAGCGCGGCGAUGAGGGUGUUGUAGGAGCAGCGGUCGGGGCUCGGGAUGGAGGAGAAGAGGGAGAGGGCGUCGGGGAGAGAGGCCGGGUGGGAGGAGAGGAGGUGGAGGAGGCGGUUGGAAAGCAGCGUGGAGGGCUGGAGCGAGGCGGCGGCCGCGGCCAGCGCGCGCGCGGCCGGGGCGUGGGCGGGGUCGGCGCGGAGCAGCGGGAGGAGGCGGUCGAUGGCGUCGUGGAGCUGCGACGCGGUGGUGACCGAGAAGGUCGGGGGCUUGGUCCUCAUGGAUGGAUAGUGGCAAUGGCGUCGGCAUGCAUGGUGGGCGGUGGCGGCAGCGAGACUGCACUGCAGUUGCGUCUAGCUCUCCGUACAGGACGGCAGUGA
rnacentral:rRNA from 1 species